GACGAACGCUGGCGGCGUGCCUAAUACAUGCAAGUAGGACGCAGUUGCGAACGGGUGAGUAACGCGUAGGUAACUACCUAUUAGAGGGGGCUAACUAUUGGAAACGAUAGCUCAUACCGCAUACUAGUAGAUGGAGCUGCGUUGUAUUAGCUAGUAGGUCGGGUAAUGGCCUACCUAGGGAACGAUACAUAGCCGACCUGGGAGGGUGAUCCGCCAAAAUGGGAAUGAGACACGGCUCAGACUCCUACGGGAGGCAGCAGUAGGGAAUCGUUGGCAAUGGGGGGAAACCUGACCGAGCAACGCCGCGGGAGUGAAGAAGGUUUUCGGAUCGUAAAGCUCUGUUGUGAAGGAAGCGGUACUUAACCAGAAAGCGCCGGCUAACUACGUGCCAGCAGCCGCGGUAAUAC
rnacentral:rRNA from 1 species